UACGGAGGGUGCGAGCGUUGUCCGGAAUCACUGGGCGUAAAGCGCGCGUAGGCGGCCGCUUAAGUCGGAUGUGAAAAGCCCCUGGCUCAACUGGGGAAGUGCACCCGAAACUGAGUGGCUUGAGUACUAAAGAGGGUCGCGGAAUUCCCGGUGUAGAGGUGAAAUUCGUAGAUAUGGGGAGGAACACCGGUGGCGAAGGCGGCCACCUGGACGGUAACUGACGCUGAGACGCGAAAGCGUGGGGAGCAAACAGG
rnacentral:rRNA from 1 species